GGCCGCGAAGAGGGGACAGAUAUAAUGGUCGGCCGGUUGCCGGGGACUCUUUCGCGGGAAGGGCCCCAUGGCCAGCCCGGCCGAGACGGAGUCUGGCAGAGACCUUGAGAAGCAGAGUUUGGAUGCUGCACAGACGGAGUCUCGCAUAGACUGGGUGUCAUUCAACGUUUAUGUGAAAGUGCGCUGUCACGGGGAGGCUGCCCGUGCCUCUGGCGGCAGAUUGCUAGAGGACAACUGCGUCUCUAUCUCAACCACACCCUCCCCUUCCAACUCACGUGACAUGUGACGGACGACCUUGAGAACAUCACAAGGAAACCCAAACAAUGAUUAGGAGAGAAAUGCAUCUGGGGUAAUGACAGAACAUCAUUUAGAAGCGGUGGAAUGAUGACUGUAGGUGCUAAGGAGCUAGUUGCUAUGAGAAACUGGCAGGGUGCUGGGGCCACCAACCUGUUCGCAAAUACUUAGAGUGGACGUGGGGAUUCCCCACUAAGUAAAGGAGAGCCACCAAAAUGUCUUACCUUGACGAAACAUCUCUCCAUGACACCAGCAGCAGCAAUCUCAAUGUAACAAGUAGAAACAGAACAAAAUAAAGAAAGCAAUUCUAUAAAACAAUAUUUUGUAUCUGACAUUACGUCAAUAAACAGUUUCACGAGA